CUUCUUCUUCCCCGAGCCCGAAAGACAAAAUAUGCAGAAAAUUUUUUCUCCCUUUCUCUCUCCUUUGACUCUCUCCCUCUCCCUGUUUGACCGGCGUUUCGCCGGAUUUCAAUCUCCAGAAUGCUACACGCGCCGGCCCCCGGUGUAUCCCGCCACCUCGAGACCUUGGCCACCAAGUUUCCCGGCCAUCCGCCGCCGGACGCGCCCAGAUCGGGCCGGCGAAGUCGCGGCGGCGAGGUGAAAUUUUUCCGGCGAUUCUCGCCGUUUCCGACCAACCCAAUCCGUCCCAUACCUCUAUCCCACUAUUUUCGACCACUCUGAGUCCAUUUCCGGGGUUAGAUUGCCCAAAAUCCCCACCGUUUGAAAGAUCCCUCAAGAUCAAAACCGGCCGAAGCUUCCCUACCAAAUUCCGGCCACCUCCGGCGGAAUUGGGGUCGAUGGAGACCGGAUUGGUGAUUCUCGUCCCACGAGCUUCGAUUCGGAGCACCGAUGAGUACUAGAAUUGAUCCCGUGGUGAAUCAUGGGUUAAUUGCGUGCUCCAGGUGAGUGACCCACCUUUAAAAAUAUUUUUGGGAUAAUUAAUUGUAUUUAUGUGGUAUUAAUUUGAUAUCUGUAAUUUGUGCUCAUGUGGUGUAUUUUAAAUACAAUCGGGAAAAAAUAUUAUUUUAUAUAUAUAUUUACCCAUUGGUGCUAAAUGAAAUUUUGGAGUCAUUAAGAAAUUCCCGAUUAUUAUUUUAUUAUGGUUAAAUGAUAUUUAUUCCACAUGAGUAAGUAUUUUCAGUAAUUCGUUGUGUUUGGAUUUUAUAUAAAUUUCGGGCAUAAUUGGGUUAAAUAUUUUAUGAAAAUAUUUGUUUAAGUUGGUGGUUUAAUUUUAUAAAUUAUGCCCGCGGUAUUUCAAUUGUUGAAUCUCGUAUUACGAGAAAAGGUAUGGUUUUAUCUGUUAUCAAUGUUUCGUACCGGGUUAUUGAAUAAAAAUAUGUGGGAUGGUAAGUGUGAGAAUUUAAUGUAUUUUCCACGGUGGUUUUUGGAAAAACGGUACGGUUGGUUAUUAUUAUUAUUUUUAGACGCACUCAUACAGUAUUGGUGUUCUGGUGUAUGGUGUAUGGACACGUGGUAGCACGCGGUUAUUAUGUGGUUUAGCGUGCGGUUAUUACUUCACCCGUGAGUUGCCAUUGGACCGUGGGCAGGCAAGGUUAUUGUUGUGCACAGCCGCCCCCCUCCUUGGUCGGGUUGAUGGUUUUAGCAGCGGUACUGUCGGGACGCCGAAGUGACCGUUGCAGGUUUCUCUCUUUAACCCCCCACCAGUCGGUGCUCAGGACGCUGGGUAUCGGAGGGCAUCACCGGUAUAUGGUGUGGUGCGUCAGUGUAAAUUGCAAAUAAUGUUUUAAACCCCAAAGGUGUUCUAAAAUUAUUUAUUAUAAUUUAUUGCAGUUUAGUUAUACUUGGGGUAUUUAUUUAUUUAUUUAUUUAUUUGUUUAUUUGUUGUUUAUUAAAUUAUUUGGUUCCUUGGUUUUUGGGAAGUACGUACAAGGGUUUUGUGAAAAUGUUUUAAAAUGGGAACUUUUCCAACUGAGAGAAUUGUAAGGGUUUUGAGAGAAAUUAUUAUUUUCCAAUUAAUUAUUAUCUAUCUACUGUAUUACCGUGGUAUUAUAUUGUAUAGUAGAUAGGGUCACUCACUGAGAUGAUUAGCAUCUCACACUCUUAAAUUCCGUUCCCCUAGGUUCAGGUCGGAGACGUUGAUUGUCCGGGGCGAGCCCAACGUCUCAGUUCGUUGCCGAAGGUUCAAGAAGUUUUUCUUCCCUUUUUCCUCUUGAACUUGUAUUGUUUCUUUAUCUGUCAUUUUAUAAAUUCCACAUUUGUUGUAUAAUGCUCUGUAUACUGUAUUGGACGUGUAGUUGUUUUUAAUGCACUGGGUUACUGCUGUUGUUUUAUUUUGAAGUGCUGCAAUUUGUGGAACCAAUUUGUAGUAUCGUGGGAGGAAUAAGGGGAUGUUUUUAGAAGUGUGCUUUCAGUGCAGGUAGUUUGUGGUAAGUAAAUCCCUUAGGGGAGGCUCUGCCGGAUUUUCCGUUGGAGGGUCCAGUAGGGUUUCCCUGGGAUCAGGGCUGUCUAGGGUUCCGAGGAAGGAAUUCUGGACGGGUCCUGACAGGGAGCUUGAUUUUCAAAUUAGUAGAAUAUAUAUUAAUAAACAAGUUAAUUUUCAAUAAAUAAAUUAAUUUUGAA